rnacentral:rRNA from 1 species
UACGUAGGGGGCAAGCGUUGUCCGGAUUUAUUGGGCGUAAAGAGCGUGUAGGCGGCUUGGUAGGUCCGCUGUGAAAACUCGAGGCUCAACCUCGAGAUGUCGGCGGAAACCACUUGGCUAGAGUCCGGAAGAGGAGAGUGGAAUUCCCGGUGUAGCGGUGAAAUGCGCAGAUAUCGGGGAAGAACACCUAUGGCGAAGGCAGCUCUCUGGGA